rnacentral:rRNA from 1 species
AUUGAACGCUGGCGGCAGGCUUAACACAUGCAAGUCGAACGAGUGGCGGACGGGAGGGUAAUGCUUGGGAAUCUAGCUUAUGGAGGGGGAUAACUACGGGAAACUGUAGCUAAUAUCGCGUACACUAGGCUGAGCCCAAGGGGGAUUAGGUAGUUGGUGAGGGAAAGUCUCACCAAGCCGACGAUCUCGAGAUGGUCUGAGAGGAUGAACCGCCACACUGGGACUGAGACACGGCCCAGACUCCUACGGUAGGCAGCAGUGGGGAAUAUUGCGCAAUGGGGGCAACCUGACGCAGCCAUGCCGCGUGAAUGAAGAAGGCCUUCGGGUUGUAAAGUUCUUUCGGUAGCGAGGCGUUAACUACAGAAGAAGCACCGGCUAACUCCGUGCCAGCAGCCGCGGUAAUUC